rnacentral:tRNA from 1 species
GAGGGUUUAGCUCAGGGUAGAGUGUAUGCUUAGCACAAGGUCCUGGGUUCAAUCCCCAGUACCUUUA